CACACAGUCACCCGUGUUUUGCUUCUAGAAGUGGGUAACUUUCUAAUCAAGUCACCCCGCUGAGCACAGCCACACUUCUCCACUCAUUUUCAGCAAGCAGAAGACCUGAAAGACAUAGCUCCUCUUCAAAGAGUCUAGUGUGCCAGCGUGUGUAGAUGACCAAGAGAACCACUAGAAAUCCUCCACAAUGAAUUUUCUGGACAUAAAAGCCCACAUCAAUUCCUUGGAGGAAUUACAUCUACACUGCUGCAACGUGGAAGAUAAAUGCAACCCUAACACACUGCCACAUGAAGUCCUAUAGUGCCACCCGUAU